rnacentral:rRNA from 1 species
UACAGAGGGGGCAAGCGUUGUUCGGAAUUACUGGGCGUAAAGGGCGCGUAGGCGGCCUGUUAAGUCGGACGUGAAAUCCCUCGGCUCAACCGGGGAACUGCGUCCGAUACUGGCGGGCUUGAAUUCGGGAGAGGGAUGUGGAAUUCCAGGUGUAGCGGUGAAAUGCGUAGAUAUCUGGAGGAACACCGGUGGCGAAGGCGGCAUCCUGGACCGACAUUGACGCUGAGGCGCGAAAGCCAGGGGAGCAAGCGGG